GAAUUCACUAGUGAUUCAGGCCUAACACAUGCAAGUCGGGCGGCAGCGGGAAGUAGCUUGCUACUUUGCCGGCGAGCGGAGAACGGGUGAGUAAAGUCUGGGGAUCUGCCCUGUGGAGGGGGAUAACUACUGGAAACGGUAGCUAAUACCGCAUAAUGUUGCGAAACCAAAGUGGGGGACCUUAGGGCCUCACGCCAGAGGAUGAACCCAGACGGGAUUAGCUUGACGGUGAGGUAACGGCUCACCGUGGCGACGAUCCCUAGCUGGUCUGAGAGGAUGACCAGCCACACUGGAACUGAGACACGGUCCAGACUCCUGCGGGAGGCAGCAGUGGGGAAUAUUGCACAAUGGGCGCAAGCCUGAUGCAUUCAAGGGGCGUGUGUGAAGAAGGCCUUAGGGUUGUAAAUUUUAAUGAGCGGUGAGGAAGGUAACGGAGUGAAUAUCUGCGUUAC
rnacentral:rRNA from 1 species